rnacentral:misc_RNA from 1 species
AGGUAAGUGGUGAUCUAGUAUGCAAGCAUAAAGUGCUAGUGAAUUAGGGUCGGGCUCUUGAGUCUUAACCAAGAUUUUAGCUAUGGGUACCACGAAGAUCUACAUAGUGUAUUACUCCUUAUAUGGACAUGUGGAGACAAUGGCACGAGAAGUCCAGCGAGGGGCUAAUUCAGUUCAAGGUGUUGAAGCAACACUUUGGCAGGU